UACGGAGGGAGCAAGCGUUACUCGGAAUUAUUGGGCGUAAAGGGCGCGUAGGCGAUUCUGUAAGUCUCGUGUGAAAGCCCACAGCCUAACUGUGGAAGUGCACGAGAUACUGUAGAAUUUGAGUUCAGGAGAGGAAGGCAGAAUUCCUGGUGUAGCGGUGAAAUGCGUAGAUAUCAGGAGGAAUACCAGUGGCGAAGGCGGCCUUCUGGACUGACACUGACGCUGAGGCGCGAAAGCUAGGGGAGCAAACGGG
rnacentral:rRNA from 1 species